AAACAAACCAAGUGGCUCGGACCGAGCCACACAACACUAUUCCAGCCAUGAACUGUGUGUCAGAGUCCGACCAUCACUGGCUGUGUUGAGGGAAAAGAAUGACAAGAGGUUGGUCAAACGUUUGAGGAGCCGACACACUGCCUUCUUCCUUUGGACUUCUCUAACAACAUGAAGGAGAAUCGCACUUCUCGUUGGUAUUUUGCUGGAGUCUGCUCCAGCGCGGCUGCCUGUUUAACAUGCCCGCUGAAUUUAAUUAAGGUGCACUUACAGAUGCAGCAGGAGGUGAGGGUGAGGAUGAUCGAAAUGACUGUUAACGUGGUGAGGAGAGACAGUAUUUAGCAUGUUAGGAGGGUCUGAGGAAACUGUUCUCUGGCUCUACAGUGGCUUCUACUAGAGGUGCACUGGUCUCUGUCAGACAGGUAAAGACCUCUGUGCUACUGAAUCACUGUACUAUUUUGCAGUAUGUGUGUGCAUUUUGCCCCACGCGGCUGUCUUGUUACGACCAGUCCAAGCAGUUGAUUCUAGCUACUGGUUACCUCACUCACUUCCUGGCCAGCAUGUUUGCGGUGAGUGACUCAUCUCUGUCACUGUGUAGAUAAUAUUGCCACAUUUUCCAAAAUGAAAGACACCUUUUCUCCUUUUCUACACGGUGGAUGUGCCACAAUCCUGUGCCAACCACUCAAACAAGGCUAAUGAACUCAAAACUGGAAUAUGGGGGUGUUUCACUGUCUAACAGAAACAGCAAAACUGAGUUUGAAGGAAUUUUACACGGUGGAUGUCGCUAUAACACAAAGAAAUUGUGUUUUACACUACACCUUCCUGUCAAAAACAUGACUCUUCUUCUUCUCGUCUUUUCACUUACUGAAAAAAUGAUAUGAUUUGUGUCCGGGGUCUUGUACCUGCAGAUGUCCGCCUCAUCCCUCACACAGUCUUCACCUUCAUGUACCUCGAACAACUGAGGCAGCAUUUUGGUGCAGUAGUUGAGAGAAAGGAAGGAAGGAAAUGAUUCCUCACGGUUGCCAUGGCUGGUCUUUACAAUUUCAGUGGUUCUCUGUGUUGGACAGUGUCAUCAUUGAUGGUAUUCUUACAUAACAGACUCCACUAGAUACCACUAAUAACAAGAACCAAGAAGAAGUCGCAUUGCAAUGCACCUCUAAAGAUCCAUUUUAAUACAACAUUAUUUUUUCAUCCAUAACACAAAGUGAAAGUGACUCAUGCAUUAUCACGCAAAGCACAGAUAAGGCACUGCCAUGAAAAGAAAUGUGAUGUAUGUCUCAGGUUGUGUUAACUUCCAAUGUUAAAACAGUUCACCAUUGUGGCCCAUUACAUGUGAUGAACAGUACAACUAUAAUCUGACAUAUGGUUUGUGAAAAGAAGGUUUAGUGGUGAUAAUCACCUUUUAAUCCUGUUGAGUCUGGCACCAGACAAUUACACUUUUAAGUAGGUCUUCUUUGCCCUCUGGGUGUUACACUGAAACACAAUGUGUCUAUGUUAUAUGUACUGGGUAUUUGUUUGUAAUAAUGCAGAAUUUCAGCAUAUUUGUACCAGACAGUUUUUGGUCAAGGUGAUUUAUUUUCAUAUUGUGAAAAGUGUUUACAUUUUCUGGUGGGAGGCAUAAUUUUCACAUUUUCAUUAGUCAAGUUAAGAGUCAAGAUAACUUUGUUUAUCCCUGAGAGGAUGUUUCAGUUUUACAAGACUGAUUUAAUUAAUAAAACAAUCUCUGCUUAUCUGCUUGUGUGCCACUGCCUUGUUGAUAAUUUGUCUCUUUACUGAGCUUCUGUCAGUCUGAGCACAUUUAUGUAGCUGCCCUUCAGGUCUCCUCUCUCUUCAACAGGUAUACUUAAACUGGCUGGUUCAGCGUGUACUAGAGUGAACAAAAGCUCACAAUUAGGAACACUUUAAUAAAAUACGAAUGUGCUUUCAUGAGGACAGACAGGAGCUUUUUAAACCUUGCGGGGGCUUGUGAAACAAUGUUCAUCUGAAGAUACAAAUGUUUCACUCUAAAAUUCUGAGAAGAAGAGUUGUGAGUCUUGGUUCAGCAGCAGUAUGUGGGUUUGUGGCUUCUUAUUAUUUUAUAUUGUUCCAUGUAUUAUUUUCCAAGUAUUACCUUUUACAGUGAUGUACAAUCCAUCAUGUUCGGCUU